UUACUUUGGCAGAAUAGUGUUUUAAAUUUAGAAUUUAAUUAUGUAUAAAAUUUUUAUACAAGUAAUA
rnacentral:tRNA from 1 species